GUCACGAUUGCCUUUGCUAGCUCCAUCAAACGCUGGUGAGUAUUUUUCCUUAAUUGGUACUGAUAAUUUUUCUCAAACUGGAGACAAUGAAUUGAAUAUUUUAGACUGAUAUAUUCUCCAAUUGUGAGCAUUCAGACUUUGAGCUAAUGAGGCUUGAUAUUUCCACCCUCAAAAAAGUAUUUUAACUUUCACUAAAUUGAAAACAAUGACCUUCAUCCUUGUAACGUAUUAAUCUAAAUUGCCUUCAAAUGAUAUUGAUUUUGGUUGGGGAGGUGCCGCGCAAAUUGCACAUGCAUCUCCACAGAAGGAAGUAGCUAUUGUCCAUGCCCAGAGAAAGGAUAGUAAGAACAAGAUCCUAACACUGGGUCUGCUUCCUUCAGACAUGAAAGCCUUAGAGGACUUUCUGCAAUCAGAGAUGGGAAUACAAGCUUGUAUCUAAUCCACUUGUUAUAUCAACAAUUAUAUAUGGCUCUACUCAUA